UUCAUGGUCGGUAUCCUUUUUCUGAUAUAGAGUUUAAAUGUUGAAGUAGAGAACAGUCAUUGGUUAUGAGUUGAUCUCUGAGUAGAUCAUCCACAUGGAUGAGUUCUUUAGUUAUUUGUACUAGUCACUUAUGAAAAAUCAAAAGUUUCUUAACAUUUCUAUGUAGUCAUUUUUUAAGGAAUAGGAACAAAUGACUGGCAAUGGUGAGGUGUGGUGGAGAUUAAUUUGAUGAACAAUAGGUCUUAUUUUACUCUUUGUUGGAUUUUUAAUCUAUUUUAGACUUUCAAGGAAGCCCCAGACGGUUUGUAGAGGUAUUGUCUUGCUCCCAACCACAGAAUUUGUAGUUUCACUUUUGAGAUCCUAAAUAUGUGUGACUAUUUAAGCAUGCAAGACAUUCAAAAAUUGGAGACUUGGUUGAUUAUGAUGCAGUUCAUAUAUCCCUAUUGACUACAAAAACAAGCAUCAGAGUACUUGGUUGUUCAAACUUCAAACAGGUAUGGUGAGCAAUGCAAGGAUACUCCUCCAGCCCAGGAACCCAUGAGUACUUCUAUUAGGACGGAAGAAGUGCUAGCUGGCCCUACUUGGCUACGAAUCUUAUGGUAUACACCAUAAAUGUUAAGUUUCGUAACAAUUGCUGUAUAUUUCAAGCAAGAUUAUAAAAGGCUACCUUAAGGCACGCUUUCUGCCUAGGCGUAGGCUUAAAUGCAGCGAUUGCUCUGGUAAAAUCAUGCAGGCGCAAAAAGUGCACAGUAGGAGGGAAAAGCUUAAGCCUCAGGAGCUUAGUUGAUAAGUCCUUUCACGUUUUGGAUUGCUCCAGUGUUCAUGGGAUUUACAUGGAAAUGUUCCCUAUAAAAUAUUCUUUAGAAGCUGCUAUUCAAGCACAGGAUUGUGAACUCUAAUCCCAACUAAGACCCAGGCUUAAAGGUCUUGUGUGCAUGCUUGAUGAUUGUCUAAACGGCGGAAGUUUCACAACAGUAAGAAUGUGACAGACGGAGACAAACAGGCCCGGUACAAUAUAUAUCACCGACAUUCCAAAUUCAAGGAUUUCAGGCAUACUUGGGACCUUUUCAGCCUUUCAAGUAUAUUUGCUUCUUGUCUGGUUUCGUAGAUGGCCAUGGGACAGGUUUCCUUUCCAAUCUCAGAUUACAAUCUUGUGAUGGAGUACUGUGUCCGUUGGAUGCCAAACGUCCUUGAGACUAUACCUAGUGCAUUUAAUGGUAGGUUACUGUACAGAUGGGAACACUCUAUGGCAUGUAAACAUCUCUUUCUGGAAUCGUAAGUUUUAUUUUCCAAUA